rnacentral:rRNA from 1 species
AUUGAACGCUGGCGGCAUGCUUUACACAUGCAAGUCGAACGGUAACAGGCCUUCGGGUGCUGACGAGCGGCGAACGGGUGAGUAAUGCAUCGGAACGUGCCCAGAGGUGGGGGAUAACGCAGCGAAGGCUGUGCUAAUACCGCAUGUGAUCUGAGGAUGAAAGCGGGGGACCAGGCAGCAAUGUUUGGCCUCGCGCCUUUGGAGCGGCCGAUGUCAGAUUAGGUAGUUGGUGGGGUAAAGGCCUACCAAGCCGACGAUCUGUAGCUGGUCUGAGAGGACGACCAGCCACACUGGGACUGAGACACGGCCCAGACUCCUACGGGAGGCAGCAGUGGGGAAUUUUGGACAAUGGGCGCAAGCCUGAUCCAGCAAUGCCGCGUGCGGGAAGAAGGCCUUCGGGUUGUAAACCGCUUUUGUACGGAACGAAAAGGCUCUGGCUAAUACCUGGGGCUGAUGACGGUACCGUAAGAAUAAGCACCGGCUAACUACGUG